CCUUUGCUGAGGCAGGAAUUUCUCUGAAGACGAAUUCAUGGUUUGUGUUGAGCUUGUGCUCGCAGGAGCUCAUCACCUGAAAGAGGGACAGAGGAAAGAAAAAAAGAUGGUCGAAAGCCAGCUGUGCGAGAUGAGGGGAGAGAGUAGGGAGAUGUGAGAGAGCGGAGCGCGGUGCUCCUCGGGCUGUGGGGGCCAGAACGGGCUGUGGGACGUAACCCCCCGCCCCAUUUCCAGCCUGAGCACUGGUCCGUGGUGUCGGGUGCGAUGUUCAGACGUAGUCUCAGAAGCUGGUGAUGCCGGGGUUCUUGUUCACGGAGCCGAAGAAUGAACUUGGCAAACAAAGUAGGAGAGCAAGGGAGAGACUUAUUUCGAGAUAAAGUGAGAGGACAGAGCUCCUGGCUCACGCCAGGAGGGGACAAGAGAGUCUGUGGUCGUGCACUGUCUAAGGGUUUUAUAACGUGAUAAAGGGCUAGUGGUGUGGACCUGUUAAGUGGUCCUAGAAUGUUCAUCCUUGAAGAGACAUUAAGUCUCUUCUCAGUCUGUCAGAUAAUUCUGCAAAAUUAACAUAAGAAAUUUACUGCAGAUUGUUUCCCAGAAUAGCACCUUCUUGGUCUGGGAGCAUAUCAAUCAUCAAUCAAGACUGCCUGCCCUGCCCUCAAGGGAUACUGGUGUCUUGGUCUGGGAGCAUAUCAAACAAGACUGCCUGCCCAGAUGGGGCUGAGCUAUUGUUUGUUUGCUAAAGAAUGUCUCCAGCCUGAUCUUCACACUGUCAAAAUCCAGAAGUAAGCUAUGUUUUCAUAAGAAAAAAGAAAACUAAAAUUGUCUCAGCAUCGCUGCAGAUGUUGAGGCAUUCAAGCCCAAGCACACCUCCUGUCACGUGCUGUCCGGUUCCCUGGAUGGUCCUCUUCAUCCUCUGCGGUAAGCCAUCCACUUCCUGGACCAGGUUCAUCUACUUCCUUGUCUCCAUCGUCCUCCGAGAACUGGAGAUUAGACCUAUUCCUGGCAUGGAGGAGGUCCACAAUAAAUAAUCACUGAAUGCUUGAAUGAAGGUAAUGACCCAAACCCAGUCCCACUGAUUUCAACUCUUGUCUUCUGUGUGCAUUACAUAAGACCACUGGAUUCUGAGUUGCUGUGUAGACUGAUGCAGAGGAAGUCCUCAGAGCUGGUACUCCCUUACAGUGGCACAUGUGAGCAGGAAAAGAUAGGAACCUGGGAUCCUGAGAUCCCACUGGGACCUGGUGUCUUCUCGGGUACCUUAUGUAGGAUUUCCUUGUCAGGUGUUUGGCACCUCUGCCCUGGGUGCGUUUUCCCUUUUUACCGAUGAAGGAAUUAGACUCAGAUCAGCAAGGUGACUUUCCUGAGACAUACAGCUCACAGGCAUGGAGCUGGGCUGCAGGCCCAGAGCCAGCUUCCACCUUGCACGCGUAGCUGCCCCUGGUGGAGUGACCUGAGGCCAGAUGAACACUUGCCUGGACUCCCAGGUGCACGUGUCCCAGUCCUGUGGCUGGGUUCCAGCCGUUUGGAACAAGUCCAGUCGCUGACCUUUAAGGCACAGAGAACCCUGCUCUUUGACAUUCAGAUCAGUUUACAGUCAGCAUGUGAUUCAAAUGAAUAAACAUUUGGGGAGUCACA